CAGGGUAUGGCUAAGUAAAGCAUCUCCCUUACACUGAGAAGACACCCGUGCAAAUCGGGUUACCCUGA
rnacentral:tRNA from 1 species